rnacentral:rRNA from 1 species
UGCACCCCGCUGACGAGCGGCGGACGGGUGAGUAAUGCAUAGGAAACUGCCCAGUAGUGGGGGAUAGCCCGGGGAAACCCGGAUUAAUACCGCGUACGCCCUUCGGGGGAAAGCAGGGGAUCUUCGGACCUUGCGCUAUUGGAUGUGCCUAUGUCGGAUUAGCUAGUUGGUGGGGUAAAGGCCUACCAAGGCGACGAUCCGUAGCUGGUCUGAGAGGAUGAUCAGCCACAUCGGGACUGAGACACGGCCCGAACUCCUACGGGAGGCAGCAGUGGGGAAUAUUGGACAAUGGGGGCAACCCUGAUCCAGCCAUGCCGCGUGUGUGAAGAAGGCUUUCGGGUUGUAAAGCACUUUCAGUGAGGAGGAAAACUCUGCGACUAAUACUCGUAGGGCUUGACGUUACUCACAGAAGAAGCACCGGCUAACUCCGUGCCAGCAGCCGCGGUAAUACGGAGGGUGCAAGCGUUAAUCGGAAUUACUGGGCGUAAAGCGCGCGUAGGUGGUUUGAUAAGCGAGAUGUGAAAGCCCCGGGCUUAACCUGGGAACGGCAUUUCGAACUGUCAGGCUAGAGUAUGGUAGAGGGUAGUGGAAUUUCCUGUGUAGCGGUGAAAUGCGUAGAUAUAGGAAGGAACACCCAGUGGCGAAAGCGGCUACCUGGACCAAUACUGACACUGAGGUGCGAAAGCGUGGGGAGCAAACAGGAUUAGAUACCGCUGGUAGUCCACGCCGUAAACGAUGUCUACUAGCCGUUGGGACUCUUGAAGUCUUAGUGGCGCAGCUAACGCACUAAGUAGACCGCCUGGGGAGUACGGCCGCAAGGUUAAAACUCAAAUGAAUUGACGGGGGCCCGCACAAGCGGUGGAGCAUGUGGUUUAAUUCGACGCAACGCGAAGAACCUUACCUGGCCUUGACAUGCAGAGAACUUUCCAGAGAUGGAUUGGUGCCUUCGGGAACUCUGACACAGGUGCUGCAUGGCCGUCGUCAGCUCGUGUCGUGAGAUGUUGGGUUAAGUCCCGUAACGAGCGCAACCCCUAUCCCUAGUUGCUAGCAGUUCGGCUGAGAACUCUAGGGAGACUGCCGGUGACAAACCGGAGGAAGGUGGGGAUGACGUCAGGUCAUCAUGGCCCUUACGGCCAGGGCUACACACGUGCUACAAUGGUGCGCACAGAGGGCUGCAAACCCGCGAGGGGGAGCCAAUCUCACAAAACGCAUCGUAGUCCGGAUCGCAGUCUGCAACUCGACUGCGUGAAGUCGGAAUCGCUCGUAAUCGUGAAUCAGAAUGUCACGGUGAAUACGUUCCCGGGCCUCGUACACAC